rnacentral:siRNA from 1 species
CGGUCAUGUUUUAGCCUUCUUCUC